rnacentral:rRNA from 1 species
UACGUAGGGUGCGAGCGUUAAUCGGAAUUACUGGGCGUAAAGCGUGCGCAGGCGGUUUUGUAAGCCAGAUGUGAAAUCCCCGGGCUCAACCUGGGAAUGGCAUUUGGGACUGCAAGGCUGGAGUGUGGCAGAGGAGACUGGAAUUCCUGGUGUAGCAGUGAAAUGCGUAGAUAUCAGGAGGAAUACCGAUGGCGAAGGCAGGUCUCUGGGCUGACACUGACGCUCAUGCACGAAAGCGUGGGGAGCGAAACAAG